ACGAACGCUGGCGGCGUGCUUAACACAUGCAAGUCGAACGGAAAGGCCCUGCUUUUGUGGGGUGCUCGAGUGGCGAACGGGUGAGUAACACGUGAGUAACCUGCCCUUGACUUUGGGAUAACUUCAGGAAACUGGGGCUAAUACCGGAUAGGAGCUCCUGCCGCAUGGUGGGGGUUGGAAAGUUUCGGCGGUUGGGGAUGGACUCGCGGCUUAUCAGCUUGUUGGUGGGGUAGUGGCUUACCAAGGCUUUGACGGGUAGCCGGCCUGAGAGGGUGACCGGCCACAUUGGGACUGAGAUACGGCCCAGACUCCUACGGGAGGCAGCAGUGGGGAAUAUUGCACAAUGGGCGGAAGCCUGAUGCAGCAACGCCGCGUGCGGGAUGACGGCCUUCGGGUUGUAAACCGCUUUCGCCUGUGGCGAAGCGUGAGUGACGGUAAUGGGUAAAGAAGCACCGGCUAACUACGUG
rnacentral:rRNA from 1 species